AAUUUUGGACAAUGGGCGCAAGCCUGAUCCAGCCAUGCCGCGUGAGUGAAGAAGGCCAUCGGGAUGUAAAGCACUUUCGGACGGAAAGCAAUCGCGCAGGCAAAUACCCUGCGCGGAGGACGGUACCGUCAUAAGAAGCACAGGCUAACUACGUUCCAGCAGCCGCGGUAAUACGGAGGGUGCGAGCGUUAAUCGGAAUUACUGGGCGUAAAGCGUGCGCAGGCGGUUGAUUAAGACAGGCGUGAAAACCCCGGGCUUAACCUGGGAACUGCGCUUGUGACUGGUCAGCUAGAGCACGGCAGACGGGGGUGGAAUUCCACGUGUAGCAGUGAAAUGCGUAGAGAUGUGGAGGAACACAGAUGGCGAAGGCAGCCCCCUGGGCCGAUACUGACGCUCAUGAACGAAAGCGUGGGUAGCAAACAGG
rnacentral:rRNA from 1 species